GACGAACGCUGGCGGCGUGCUUAACACAUGCAAGUCGAACGGAAAGGCCCUGCUUUUGUGGGGUGCUCGAGUGGCGAACGGGUGUGUAACACGUGAGUAACCUGCCCUUGACUUUGGGAUAACUUCAGGAAACUGGGGCUAAUACCGGAUAUGAGCUCCUGCUGCAUGGUGGGGGUUGGAAAGUUUCGGCGGUUGGGGAUGGACUCGCGGCUUAUCAGCUUGUUGGUGGGGUAGUGGCUUACCAAGGCUUUGACGGGUAGCCGGCCUGAGAGGGUGACCGGCCACAUUGGGACUGAGAUACGGCCCAGACUCCUACGGGAGGCAGCAGUGGGGAAUAUUGCACAAUGGGCGGAAGCCUGAUGCAGCAACGCCGCGUGCGGGAUGACGGCCUUCGGGUUGUAAACCGCUUUCGCCUGUGACGAAGCGUGAGUGACGGUAAUGGGUAAAGAAGCACCGGCUAACUACGUG
rnacentral:rRNA from 1 species